ensembl:lncRNA
CAGAGUGCUCCAUGAAUCUCUACAGAGAGAGUGUGACAGUCCUGCUGGGGCCACCUCUCUGAGGUGGUGAGAGGAGACGGAAGGAGCAGAGCCCAUCAGAGUGGGGCUGGUUAGCAGGUACAUGGGCCCACAGACUUUCCUUGACUACCUGCAGGGCUGUGUGAAGCCCUUGGCUCAGCGUCCCAUGGGAGCCAUGCACUUCAGUUUGCUUUCUCAGGGCCAGAGCUUUUAUACAGUCACCUAAGGAGCGCCAAGGACAAGGAGCAAACUUUAGUGGUAGCCGGCCACUCUCCCAGCCACACAUCCCAGUGGCUAGAGCUCUGCUAAUCCCUCAAGCAGGGAAGCCUGGCCACUUUCAGAGCGCACCUUUGGCAUAAAGCUGCCGGUGUGUGAUUUAUGGGGCUGCUAAGAGGUUGUGCCGAGAGCCAUUCCCCAGCAGGUUGGCAAGAAACUUUGAAGAGGUUUCGACUCUGGGACCGCACUCUUCACAGGACCUAUGUUCACCCAGGAGGGGCAGAUGGCAGUGGUCUGAAGAUUCUUUGGAGUCUCACCUGGGAGGAGAACGGUCAUCUCAC